AAAACUUGCCUCAUUAGUAAUCCAACCAAGCUAACAGGGUAGUUUGGCAGGAUACACAGCCAUCUCCCUCUCAGCUUAGGAAGGCCGUCCUAAGAAUAGGACUAGCUCUGCAAGACAAGAGAGGAUAAU
ensembl:scaRNA